UUGACCGUAGCUCAAUUGGCAAGAGCCCCGGUAUGUGACACCGGUCAAUGCGGGUUCGACUCCCGUCGGUCAACCCA
rnacentral:tRNA from 1 species